rnacentral:tRNA from 1 species
GCAGACGUGGGUGAGUGGUUUAAACCAAUGCACUGCUAACGCAUCGACUGUGACAGGUCCGAAAGUUCGAAUCUUUCCGUCUGCGCCA